rnacentral:rRNA from 1 species
UACGUAGGGGGCAAGCGUUGUCCGGAUUUAUUGGGCGUAAAGGGCGCGCAGGCGGCUCUGAAAGUCAGAUGUGAAAGCCCCGGGCUUAACCUGGGAAUUGCAUUUGAUACUCUGGAGCUUGAGUGUGGGAGAGGAGAGUGGAAUUCCCAGUGUAGAGGUGAAAUUCGUAGAUAUUGGGAAGAACACCAGUGGCGAAGGCGGCUCUCUGGACCACAACUGACGCUGAGGCGCGAAAGCGUGGGGAGCAAACAGG